rnacentral:rRNA from 1 species
CACGUAGGGCGCGAGCGUUGUCCGGAAUUAUUGGGCGUAAAGGGUGCGUAGGCGGGUCUUUAAGUCAGGGGUGAAAUCCUGGAGCUCAACUCCAGAACUGCCUUUGAUACUGAAGAUCUUGAGUUCGGGAGAGGUGAGUGGAACUGCGAGUGUAGAGGUGAAAUUCGUAGAUAUUCGCAAGAACACCAGUGGCGAAGGCGGCUCACUGGCCCGAUACUGACGCUGAUGCACGAAAGCGUGGGGAGCAAACAGG